rnacentral:rRNA from 1 species
UGAGAUGACUAGGUGGCGGACGGGUGAGUAACGCGUGGGUAACCUGCCGUAUUCUGGGGGACAACAGUUGGGAAACGACUGCUAAUACCGCAUAAGCCGCACGGUACCGCAUGGUACAGUGUGAAAAAACUCCGGUGGAAUACGAUGGACCCGCGUCUGAUUAGCUAGUUGGUGAGGUAACGGCCCACCAAGGCGACGAUCAGUAGCCGGCCUGAGAGGGUGAACGGCCACAUUGGGACUGAGACACGGGCCCAAACUCCUACGGGAGGCAGGCAGUGGGGAAUAUUGCACAAUGGGGGAAACCCUGAUGCAAGCGACGCCGCGUGAGUGAAGAAGUAUCUCGGUAUGUAAAGCUCUAUCAGCAGGGAAGAAAAUGACGGUACCUGACUAAGAAGCCCCGGCUAACUACGUGCCAGCAGCCGC